CGCGACGCCGGCUUACUGACCGCAGUCCCUCGCUACCGCCAGACCGCUUCGCUUGUUCGCGACGCUUCUCAAACCAGUCAGUGUCUUGUAUCGAGGCGUGUUUAUUACAACUAAAUACCUACUACUUACUCUCUCUUAUCUACUACUACUAUCAAAUACCAGCGUCGAUUACUAACAACCAAACGACGACGACGACUACUCUGCUACGUCUCGAGGCUAUAAGUACGAACAGUCGUAGCAAGACACGGGGCUCGCUUGAUUCGGACCAACAACAUGCGUUAGCUUCUGACAGAAAACAGCCGCUUAGCUUCGCAACCUGCUUUUCCGCUAACUGACCACUGUCAGACUCUAGGAGCACUUGUUGCUAGUCCUCUCGCCUGUACCACGACCAACAAAACAAUUAAACCAACCAACCCCUAUUACUGUUGAACUUUAUAAGUACUACUACCUACGUAUUGCAACGGUGAUCUCGUUUAGUUCCAUUCACUAGUACAUACACACAUACACACAAACACACGCAUAUUUUGUGCCAUAAUAUUAGCGCUUAUAUACCAAUAUCGAACUCUCUUCCCCUCCAAAUAACAGUAAUCGCCACUGCUCCUUCAAUUUCAACUGUAAAACUACCGACAGUCUCACGAAUAAAAUAAAAAAGGAUGGACAAUAAUUCUACCUGAUCGUAGCGCCGCAUAAUCCUAUUAUUCUAAAAUCCAAAGUUCGUGCUGCUCUCCGUAAAA